rnacentral:rRNA from 1 species
CCUACGGGUGGCAGCAGUGAGGAAUAUUGGUCAAUGGACGAGAGUCUGAACCAGCCAAGUAGCGUGAAGGAUGACUGCCCUAUGGGUUGUAAACUUCUUUUAUAUGGGAAUAAAACGUUCCACGUGUGGGAUUUUGUAUGUACCAUAUGAAUAAGGAUCGGCUAACUCCGUGCCAGCAGCCGCGGUAAUACGGAGGAUCCGAGCGUUAUCCGGAUUUAUUGGGUUUAAAGGGAGCGUAGGUGGAUUGUUAAGUCAGUUGUGAAAGUUUGCGGCUCAACCGUAAAAUUGCAGUUGAAACUGGCAGUCUUGAGUACAGUAGAGGUGGGCGGAAUUCGUGGUGUAGCGGUGAAAUGCUUAGAUAUCACGAAGAACUCCGAUUGCGAAGGCAGUUCACUGGACUGCAACUGACACUGAGGCUAGAAAGUGUGGGUAUCAAACAGGAUUAGAUACCCCAGUAGUC